rnacentral:piRNA from 1 species
UCGGUGUCAAUAGUCUCCAGACCUGGGU